rnacentral:rRNA from 1 species
GUCUCUGACCAUAUCACUUGGAAUGCACCCUAUCUCAUUCAUCUCAGAACUUCACCAAGGGUUGGGUCUGGAUAGUACCUGGAUGUGCAACCACCAAACAAAAAACAGGUAUUAUAGGCU